AUUGAACGCUGGCGGCAGGCCUAACACAUGCAAGUCGAGCGCGCGGCGGACGGGUGAGUAAUGUAUGGGGACUGCCCGAUAGAGGGGGAUAACUACUGGAAACGGUAGCUAAUACCGCAUACUAUCGGAUAACCCAUAUGGGAUUAGCUAGUAGGUGAGGGAAAGGCUCACCUAGGCGACGAUCCCUAGCUGGUCUGAGAGGGUGAUCAGCCACACUGGAACUGAGACACGGCCCAGACUCCUACGGAGGCAGCAGUGGGGAAUAUUGCACAAUGGGCGCAAGCCUGAUGCAGCCAUGCCGCGUGGAUGAAGAAGGCCCUAGGGUUGUAAAGUACUUUUGGCAGAGAAGCGGUAUCUGCAGAAUAAGCACCGGCUAACUACGUGCCAGCAGCCGCGGUAAUAC
rnacentral:rRNA from 1 species